rnacentral:pre_miRNA from 1 species
UGGUGCGAACGGACGAUAGUCUUCAGCGGCCGUGCAUUUGAUAGAAUUGGUCGGUGGGACUUUCGUCCGUUUGUAACCGCC